ACAACAGGACGAAGUGUUUGUGGCCGUGCAUGAAGGUUAUAUGAGCAUCAACAGAUUUGGCAACUUCACAAUCUUCCCCAUCUCCAUGGGCAAAUCCUCCAGCCUCAUCAUGAUCUCCAACCUUGCUUGUACCACUCCCGCCCACACCACACACAUACUCUGUGUCAAUGUAAUCAAAGGAACGCAAAAAAUAUGCAAGGACGAUAUUCCACCUGGUUCCCACGGUUACUCGGACGUCCGUCCACAUUUGCAACUUGUUUAUAUAGUGACACCGGAUCAAAAGACGAUUUUGAAAUUCAACGUUAGCGAUGAUUGUCUUGUAUUGAUAUCUAAGAAGUCUGGAAAUGACUACGGUAGUGCCAUGUGGUUUUCUUAUAAUAAUGGCUCGACAUUAUUUCUGAGUAAUGGACUGGCUUUGAAUGCUGUUAAUCUAGAGGCUGCUGGAACAUUGGGUGGGGAAGAUGUCGGCACUGUACACUAUAGCUCUGUGUCACAACUAUACAGUCAAGCAAACCAGCUGGGAGGAUCUAGCAAACUACUGACAUGGCCCAUCAUGACCCUACGAAAUGAUGUCAUGAAUAGAGUAUUCUAUUUCAAGUGGUCGGAUUUAUCUAGUAAUGGUACGGAGACUAUUCCAAGCCUGAAUGGCUACAGUAUCGUCCGUCCAAUCAGCUUGCAGUAUUGUCAGAUGGACUUUGCAUAUGCUUUAGUUACAUACAAGAGGGAAAAGGACAAUUCCCUUAGAACAGGUGUCGCUUAUAUUAAGUCUUAUUUUUGAAUUUUGCUGUUCAUUAAUUUUGCUGUAAUUAUG